rnacentral:rRNA from 1 species
GACGAACGCUGGCGGCGUGCUUAACACAUGCAAGUCGAACGGAAAGGCCCCCUUGUGGGGUACUCGAGUGGCGAACGGGUGAGUAACACGUGAGUAACCUACCCUUGACUUUGGGAUAACUUCAGGAAACUGGGGCUAAUACCGGAUAGGAGCUCCUGCUGCAUGGUGGGGGUUGGAAAGUUUCGGCGGUUGGGGAUGGACUCGCGGCUUAUCAGCUUGUUGGUGGGGUAGUGGCUCACCAAGGCUUUGACGGGUAGCCGGCCUGAGAGGGUGACCGGCCAAAUUGGGGGUGGAGUACGGCCCAGGUCCUGUGGGGGGGGCGGCGGGGGGGAUAUGUGCCAAAGGGCGGGAACCUGAGGGAGCAAACGCGGGGGGGGGAUUGAGGCCUUUGGGUUUUUAACCCCUUUUGCCCUGGGCAAAGGGGGGAGGGCUGGUAUUGGGAAAGAAGCCCCGGAUAACUACGG